AGUGAACGCUGGCGGUAGGCCUAACACAUGCAAGUCGAACGGCAGCACAGUAAGAGCUUGCUCUUACGGGUUGCGAGUGGCGGACGGGUGAGGAAUACAUCGGAAUCUACUUUUUCGUGGGGGAUAACGUAGGGAAACUUACGCUAAUACCGCAUACGACCUACGGGUGAAAGCAGUGGAUCUUCGGACCUUGCGCGAUUGAAUGAGCCGAUGUCGGAUUAGCUAGUUGGCGGGGUAAAGGCCCACCAAGGCGACGAUCCGUAGCUGGUCUGAGAGGAUGAUCAGCCACACUAGAACUGAGACACGGUCCAGACUCCUACGGGAGGCAGCAGUGGGGAAUAUUGGACAAUGGGCGCAAGCCUGAUCCAGCCAUACCGCGUGGGUGAAGAAGGCCUUCGGGUUGUAAAGCCCUUUUGUUGGGAAAGAAAAGCAGCAGGUUAAUACCCCGCUGUUCUGACGGUACCCAAAGAAUAAGCACCGGCUAACUUCGUG
rnacentral:rRNA from 1 species